UCCUGACCUCGUGAUCUGCCUGCCUCGGCCUCCCAAAGUGCCGGGAUUACAGGCGUGAGCCACCGCGCCGGGCCUGAUUUCAGUUUCUUCCAGCCCUUCCUAUUGUUAACAUGGGGGUUGUGUUGAAGAAUAUAAAGUUACAAAGUCAAGGAAGUAGGAAACAUUUUUACAAGUAUUAUGUAGCCAUCUUGGUGGGGCUGUGGUGAGGUAGGCUGCAAAUGAUUCUCCUAUUUCUUUCCCUGAGUUCAGAACAUAGGAAUUAGAUUGAUAGACAUCAACAUACCCGCUUUAUUGCUGACUCAUGACAACUAAUGGGAAGACAUGGCUCAGAUGUGCAGCCACAGUGAGCUUCUGAACAUUUCUUCUCAGACUAAGCUCUUACACACAGUUGCAGUUGAAAGAAAGAAUUGCUUGACAUGGCCACAGGAGCAGGCAGCUUCCUGCAGACAUGACAGUCAACGCAAACUCAUGUCACUGUGGGCAGACACAUGUUUGCAAAGAGACUCAGAGCCAAACAAGCACACUCAAUGUGCUUUGCCCAAAUUUACCCAUUAGGUAAAUCUUCCCUCCUCCCAAGAAGAAAGUGGAGAGAGCAUGAGUCCUCACAUGGAAACUUGAAGUCAGGGAAAUGAAGGCUCACCAAUUAUUUGUGCAUGGGUUUAAGUUUUCCUUGAAAUUAAGUUCAGGUUUGUCUUUGUGUGUACCAAUUAAUGACAAGAGGUUAGAUAGAAGUAUGCUAGAUGGCAAAGAGAAAUAUGUUUUGUGUCUUCAAUUUUGCUAAAAAUAACCCAGAACAUGGAUAAUUCAUUUAUUAAUUGAUUUUGGUAAGCCAAGUCCUAUUUGGAGAAAAUUAAUAGUUUUUCUAAAAAAGAAUUUUCUCAAUAUCACCUGGCUUGAUAACAUUUUUCUCCUUCGAGUUCCUUUUUCUGGAGUUUAACAAACUUGUUCUUUACAAAUAGAUUAUAUUGACUACCACUCACUGAUGUUAUGAUAUUAGUUUCUAUUGCUUACUUUGUAUUUCUAAUUUUAGGAUUCACAAUUUAGCUGGAGAACUAUUUUUUAACCUGUUGCACCUAAACAUGAUUGAGCUAGAAGACAGUUUUACCAUAUGCAUGCAUUUUCUCUGAGUUAUAUUUUAAAAUCUAUACAUUUCUCCUAAAUAUGGAGGAAAUCACUGGCAUCAAAUGCCAGUCUCAGACGGAAGACCUAAAGCCCAUUUCUGGCCUGGAGCUACUUGGCUUUGUGACCUAUGGUGAGGCAUAAGUGCUCUGAGUUUGUGUUGCCUCUUUUGUAAAAUGAGGGUUUGACUUAAUCAGUGAUUUUCAUAGCUUAAAAUUUUUUUGAAGAACAGAACUUUUUUUAAAAACAGUUAGAUGCAACCAUAUUAUAUAAAACAGAACAGAUACAAGUAGAGCUAACUUGCUAAAGAAAGGAUGGAGGCUCUGAAGCUGUGACUUCAUUAUCCCUUAAUACUGCUAUGUCCUCUGUAGUACCUUAGAUUUCUAUGGGACAUCGUUUAAAAACUAUUGUUUAUGCGAGAGCCUUGCUAAUUUCCUAAAAAUUGUGGAUACAUUUUUUCUCCCAUGUAUAAUUUUCUCACCUUCUAUUUAAAAAGAAAAAAAAAGUCAGUGUAGUAUUUACAUAUUUUACCCUAUAAGGAGCUAACAUAACUUUUGAUUUAGUGUUAUUCAUAAAAUUAGGUUAGCAGUUUAUUAACCUUUUGUAUUUGCUCUGGCAAUGUUUAAUAUCUCAUAAGCUAUACACACCUCGAAGCCAUCAAUGACAACCUUUUCUUGCUGAAUAGAACAGUGAUUGAUGUCAUGAAGACAAUUUUAUCUCCUUUUGCCUUCCAUAAUUUGUACCAGGUUAUAUAAUAGUAUAACACUGCCAAGGAGCGGAUUAUCUCAUCUUCAUCCUGUAAUUCCAGUGUUUGUCACGUGGUUGUUGAAUAAAUGAAUAAAGAAUGAGAAAACCAGAAGCUCUGAUACAUAAUCAUAAUGAUAAUUAUUUCAAUGCACAACUACGGGUGGUGCUGAACUAGAAUCUAUAUUUUCUGAAACUGGCUCCUCUAGGAUCUACUAAUGAUUUAAAUCUAAAAGAUGAAGUUAGUAAAGCAUCAGAAAAAAAAGGUAAACAAAUUGCUCCUGUGGAGAUGAUUGGCAUCACAUGGUGUUUUGAGCUGAUACACCCAACACUUGAGCUCACUGCAACAGUACCAGAUUUUCACCGCUAUGCCUCCUUUCACUCUGGGAGUCUUCCAGAGGUCUUGCACUCGGGAGAGCAUGCUCAGGUUUCCCCAGCUCUACAAAAUCACCCAGAAUGCCAAAGACUUCAACACAAGGGUAAAUAAGGUUGAUCUCAGAAUUGUCACCUCAAAAAGGCCCUGCCUUCCACUGUUCAGUUCUGGUCAUCUGCCUAUGAGAUAUCUGAAGCUUGAAAGAGAACACUUGAAAAUCACUGAGACCGUGACUCCCAUCCCAGCACACACAGCAAGCCAAAGAGCCUCAAGCAUAAAUCAGCAAUGUUCACCAUGGGCAAAGCAACAUGAUUAUUUGGAAGAAAUAUUUUUGA
rnacentral:lncRNA from 1 species